AAAAAAUAUAAAAUAUGGUUAAAAAAUUCUCCUACUUAAGACUCCCAGACCCCUAGUUUUCCUCCCUAAAGGCAACUGACAUUACCAGUUUCCUGGGUAUCCAUGCAGGGAUAUUUUAUGCAUAAACAACCAAAUCUCUAUACAUGUCCAUAGAGAGAGGCAGACGUAUCUGCAUGUGCAUAAACACUCGUGUGUGUGUCCUUUUAUCCCAAAGGAAACACUUCUUUUUCCCUUGACAAAGGACAUCCUCUGCAUCUAGCUUCUAGAAAGUGCUGCCAAUUUGGGGACCAAGGGAGGGAGGCUGCAGAGGAACAUCGUUUGGUCAAAUGUGAAAUGUGAUCAGGAAGCCGGUGCUCAGCAAACUUAUCUGAAGCUCUUGGGGACCCCACAAAGAUGAGCGGGUCCCCUUCCCAAUUUUCGGACCGUCUUGGCAGAGGCUCCCUGUCAUCAAGGACCUGAGGUUGUCACAGCCGGAUGGUGUGGGAGCUGGCACUGCCGGGGCUCCCGCUGCCUGGGACACGUACGGCUGCCCAGUGAUCCUGAGCGCCGACCCCUGAGCACCUCAGUGUCCGUGACUGUGGAGCGGAGCAGGGAAGGGGCUCUGGAAGGGUCUGAAUCUGGUGUGUCCAGUGUGAUCCCUGCACCCAUGCCCGGAGCUGUGCCUGGGACCCUGCCCCAAGCAAAGUAAUAAUCUGAAUGAUAUCCUCAAAGGAGCCUGGCUUGGGCUAACAAGGAAGAACUUCCAACGUGGAGAGCUGUCCUGGCACCAUUUCUUCCUGCUGUAUUAGUUGAAGACCUACUGUGUUCAGGGCCGUGAGCCAGGGCACAACCACCCCUUGGGAGCACACUCUGCCUCAACCCUGGAGUGGCUCCGAAAUGAGUCUUCAGUCCACAAGACUGAGGGUUGCCAAUCCUUCUCGGGCAUCUUGAAGCAGACCAGCCACGUUGCAAGUGCUUGGAGGCCACGGAUGACUGGUGGCUGCUGUUCUGGGAGACAGAAUCCUAUAGCAUCCCCAGUCCUGCAGCACACAGGUGGGACAAUUCCAGCUUGAUGUCUCAGCCAGCGGGUUCCCACGUCCUCCCCGCCUCUCCCAGGCAGAAGACAGAGUGACCCAGGUAACCAGUGGGCAGCUUACACAGGGACAGAAACCACACUGACUGUCGUUCCUGCCACCUGACUAUUGUCCUGUGGCCCAGGGCUGCCCAGAGCCCCUUCCUGCCCAAGUGGCAGCUGGCCCGCUGGAUCUGCAGGUGGGUCUUGGGGACACUUCUCAUCAGCUCAGCCACGCCGCCCGGGCAGCUCCUCAUGAAAGGCCUGCCUUGUGCGCCUGGGUGUGCCCAGGCCGCCGACGUCACCCGAAGCCCCUUCUCAUAAAUUCCAGCUCCGAGGUUUGCAGUUAUCGGGAGGAAGUUUCCAAUUGCUGGCUCACAUGUGGGAAAAUAUGUAAGCAAGAAAACAAGGCCAUAAAAAAGGAACUCCUACUAAUGAAACCUCCUAGAUUCCAAGGAGGAAAACGUAGCUCUCAGACCAAGUCCGUUUUCGCCCUUGCAUCUGAAAGGGAGUCCAGGGAAUUGCUAAUUUUGAACUUUCUAUACACCCUUCCUGCCUCUGGAUGUGGCCGCCUGACUCGAAUUCCUUUGCACAAUAAAAUGAGGGGGAAAAAAAUCACAUCACUUCAGCAAAACACAGGCUCGAUUUUUCUUGAUUAGCGGAAAAGUGUGUGCUAUUUAAAAAGACACGUCAUAUAACUUUUUAUUUUUUAGCAUUCCCAAGCAAAA
rnacentral:lncRNA from 10 species